rnacentral:rRNA from 1 species
UCGGAUAUCAGCCAUGAUCCGGUGAAUACGUUCCCGGGCCUUGUACACACCGCCCGUCAAGCCAUGGAAGCUGGGGGUGCCUGAAGUCGGUGACCGCAAGGAGCUGCCUAGGGUAAAACCGGUAACUAGGGCUAAGUCGUAACAAGGUAGCCGUACCGGAAGGUGCGGCUGGAACACCUCCUUUCUAGAG